ACAGGAUUUAGAGGGUGGAAAGUGACAAGAAGAGAAACAUGGCAGGAAAAAUGGGGGUGAAAUUUUACAUGGAGCCAUGGGGAAGGCUGCUGAGGAAGACCUGUAGGAGUGGGGGGCUCCCAGACAGGAACUGUGGCCCACUGCACGGAUAUGAGCAAGUUUGGAAGGGAAUGAGUCCCCCCAAGCCUCAGCCUCGGCCAGCCAUUCUCAGGUCUAGGCAGGAAAGAUGCCAGCUGUCCCACGUCAGCUGAGGUGUUCAAACAGCGGUGUCCCCUCAGCAGGGAGACUGCAGAGGGGAUUGAAGCCUUGGGCAGGGGGCUAAAGUAGGCCAAUCCUCAUUCUGCAAGUGUCCUUGGCCCCGCAGUUUGUUGGCUGUGCAGCGUCUCAGGCACUCCCUGAAGGUCGAGUCUUGGCCGAGAUUUCGGCUCACCCCAGUCCAGCUUCUGCUCCUAGCCAGGAAUGGCGUUUCCUAACCACACGGAGCAGGGAGGUACAUCUCCACCCACUCCCAUUCCUUCUCCACAGCUUGCCAUGGGGCAGUGCUGGGUUUAGUUCCUCUCCUUAUUUGGAGCUGGGGUGUGGACAGGUGUGCAGGUGGACAGGCAGCAGCCAAGGUAGAACGCAAGUCAGCCACGGGUGGCAUGUCGGGAAGCACCAGAAGGUGCAAAAGUUUGGCAUCCAGGGCCUCCCUGAACCGACUGAAAUUUGGUCUAAAUGUGCUCUUGUACCCACGUGGGAGGGCUCAGUGCCGCCUGGGUCUGGAUUUCCUGGAGAUGGGAUUUCAGGGAGCAGAGGACGACUCUGGAUGAGUGACCUAGCCGAACAAGGCCAGGGUGGACAGAGCUGCUGA
rnacentral:lncRNA from 1 species